GUACUGCUGAAGAGUCCCAAACUAGGUUGACGAAACAGCUGUCUAGUAC
rfam:Trichobilharzia regenti genome assembly, scaffold: TRE_scaffold0048800